UGUGAAGUGCCUGAUCCAAAAGGAUAAUUUUGAUAGAGUUAAGCAUGUGUUUACACCUUCAUAA
rnacentral:tRNA from 1 species